rnacentral:rRNA from 1 species
CCUACGGGAGGCAGCAGUCGAGAAUCAUUCACAAUGGGGGAAACCCUGAUGGUGCGACGCCGCGUGGGGGAAUGAAGGUCUUCGGAUUGUAAACCCCUGUCAUGUGGGAGCAAAUUAAAAAGAUAGUACCACAUGAGGAAGAGACGGCUAACUCUGUGCCAGCAGCCGCGGUAAUACAGAGGUCUCAAGCGUUGUUCGGAAUCACUGGGCGUAAAGCGUGCGUAGGCUGUUUCGUAAGUCGUGUGUGAAAGGCGCGGGCUCAACCCGCGGACGGCCCAUGAUACUGCGAGACUAGAGUAAUGGAGGGGGAACCGGAAUGCUCGGUGUAGCAGUGAAAUGCGUAGAUAUCGAGAGGAACACUCGUGGCGAAGGCGGGUUCCUGGACAUUAACUGACGCUGAGGCACGAAGGCCAGGGGAGCGAAAGGGAUUAGAUACCCUUGUAGUC